UUGCUUUAGAUGUUACUUUAUAGUUAGAAAUCCACUUUUUAAAUGUAUCAGUUUUUUUCUAGCCAACAACAUCAGCUACAUUUUAGAUUGCUUGUUCAAGGUAGCCCCGCCCACACAAAAAAAUCGUUGUGAAUCACGACGGACAUUGAUUUUGGAAGUUAGGAAACACUGGAUAUUAUUUUACCUUUAUUGUUCAAAUGGAAAAAGGAUUGCUGUUCUCAAACGUGUAAACAUGCACCUAGCGCUCUAAGGGAUGAACCCUACAGUGGUCUGUUCACCUUUCUUCAAAAUCCUGCCGUGGUGCAAAAGUGUCAAAAGGUGCAUUAUUAUGAGCAAGAUUGGCGGAGGGGGGAGAAAAUGCCUUGGGCCUUGACAGUUUUGAUUGGCUGAUAGUUUUGUCUCACAUUACAGUGUUGAAUCAGCGGGCCUAUCCACGUGUCAGACAAGGGAAAUGGAAGAUCAAGGGCAGAGGCAAGUGGCGUGUUUACAUUUUUCUCUGAUGUCCCACUCUCCACGUCUCUCAUCCAGCUUCGUGAAUCAAUAAAGGAUGGAUAGAUGUGGAGGUGGAGAUUCAGACACAACCCCUCUGUAGGGUGAACACACUUUGUGAGCUUUAUCAUGUCUGUAGGCUUUGUGUAUUUUUUCCUUGCAGGGAAAUCAAUGAAUGCUUAAUCUCUACAGCAAUGCAAUGUGAUAUUAGAAUACACUGACUUUUAUAAGCAGCAAUUGCCUUU